AAAGCGGUAUCACGCCUGCUUCUAACACUCUACGUCUGAUCGGCCAGGUAUCUUGCACGCAAGCCUUCGGCGAUCGAAACCUUCUCGUGUAUUGUUCGUCAUGAUGGACGUACUGUUUGCAUAUUAUAUGAAGUUGGUGGUCACAAUUCCUUUCUCUCACUUAAAAAUGGCCACCAUUAGGCUGACCAUAUUCCUGGAGUUUCUCGUUGUGUCAGCAACGCUGCUGUAAUCGAUUUACUUUAUAAAUUAAUUGAAACGAGUGCAUGAAAUAUAAGAGUAAUGUAAUAAGAAGAAACAUAAAAUACAUCGUUAACUAUAAUGUCCUAUUAAGAGAAUAUUUUUUAAAAGAAUAUUACAAAUUUACUUUGUAUUGGAAUUAAAUAUAUAAAAAUACAAAGACAUAUAAAAUCGAUAUGUUUCGGCUUGUUUAAUUAUUUAAUGGGGCCUCAGAUUCGUGUUAACAGGCAGUAUAUCACUGUCUUCUGUAUACGGCGUGCAUUAUCUGCUAUCGAGUGUCUCGGAUAAUGUGCGUUCACUAGUGUGUGAAAUGAUUAUAUAUACCGUGUAUACGAAACUAAAUUUACCAGAGAGACGUUGUUACGUAACAAACCAUAAAUCUCGCAGUCAGUGAGCGUACAUAGCUGGAAAAUCGUGGUACACUGACUCAUUUCAAACGCUGAUGCAUUUCUACACACUUAUAUAGAAGAUAUUCACGCACGUUUAUAAGCAAAUAGCGUACGUAACACAGUCUCAGCGUCCAAGACUGAUGCACCAACGUUAUGUUCAUCGAUGAUGUCCUGUCAUAUGAGUCAUGGUGUUUAUCUAAGAUUACUACAAUUUAUCAAGGCUGCCACGGGCCCUAGACCAUUACAAAGAUUCGCAAUAACUAACAAUUUUAUUUGGGCAAACCGGUAAAACGGAUCAGCCUGGCGUACGAUAUUCCUUCGCAACUUCUUUCCUUUUCUGUUGUUAUCGAAGUGUGCAUAGUUAUGAUCACUUUUGACCAACAAAAUGUAAGAAACUGUAAUGCAUGCAGAUUGUAAUUUAUAAGAUAAAUACUGUGGAAAGUAGGGAUAAGAAAACUUGCCGUGGAACGUGGCUCGUCCGACGGCAACCAACCACAGACGACCUGCUUUUUUCUCGAAUAUUAAAUCGCGAUACGAAAUUACGAUCACGCCGCGAAACACUGUUCAAGAUGUGUAUCUAGAUAUAUAUUGAAGUGAUCGCGCGAACGGAUCGCUGCUCCUGAACCAAUUAUCGUUGUACAAAUAUCCACAGAAGCAACUGAUGCUUCGGGCAUCGAAGAUGCAAAUAACGCGUCUGCUCAAGAUCCAGAGUAGCGACAAUAUUUGUCCGACAAUAUGCGUAACCAUACAUUUAACAGGAACGGAUCAUUAAUUGAAGAUUCGUAUUAAUCGCGCAUCGAUAAGGUAAAUAAAUAAUUUCGAUGCUUGUAGCCGGCAACGAUCCUCUUUAUUCGCUCUUGAAUCGUGUAAAUCGUGCACUGUCUGUGAAAAAGUGACGGACCGAACGGAGCGAUCAUUACUAAACAAUAAAAGAGCAAUGUAGUAAGUAGAACAAAGCAAACGAAACGAGGAGGGUGGAGCGGAAGAGCGGAGUCUCGAAGACGGCUGCUCGAACGCAACUUUGGCCCCCGGCAGGACCAUGGUCGGCGAAACACGCGUUCAACAAUAAGAAGCAUCCAGUGAAGACGAGGAACGGUGGAAAACGAAGGAGAAAGUGACGCCAGAAAGAAAGAGCAAGACAACGUUCGGUUGUAUACGGUAUAAUUACAGAGGGCAGAGCAGUGGCUAGACCCACUGCAGCAACUUAUCGUUGCCUAAGGGGCCAGCAUACUCGAAAUCGGCGGGACUCGAUCCUGUUGCGACUUGGUCCUAAUUCGUAUUCGUGCCCCAGGUGUAGCAGAUAGUAUACGUCUCGAAAAACGGCGGAAGGACUGGCAGGAAUCUCCUAUGUUACGCCCUUCCUCCCUAUCUGCGGUUUCCUUCUUAUCUCCUUUUAGCAAUGCAAAUCUCGAUGGUUAUCAGUAAUCCGCAUGCUCUAUGAUUCUAACUAAAUUUUAAGAAAAAAGGUCACAUAAUGCUUCAAAGCCUAUGAGAAAUGCAAGAUGCGAGCAUUUGUGAUUUGACUGUAAUGUCGAUAAUAUUGGUAUUAUGAUAAUUACAAAUGAAAUAUGUGGUUCUAGCUUCUUCUCUUACGUUUGCGAAUAUGAACUCGUUCGUGUUCAUCGUUUUCUUUAUGUAAAGCGUAAGAGAUCAGUGGUGGUUUUAUUUUUAUUCUUACCACAGGAGAGGAGUAGCGACCUCGAAUCCUCUAAUUUCCUUUAGCCGCAACCACCGAUAAUUAACGACUAUAAUCAGGGGGCCAGUUCACGUGACGCAACGAAACGUAACACGGCGCUUCGAGAACCCCCUACGGGUGAGGCGUGUGCAUUAAGAUGGAUAUACACCUACCCAAUUGCAUCCAUGUACAUAUCGCGUAUAUGUAGAAUAUAUCAACGUGGGCGACGCCGGAGAAAAAUGUUCGGGCUUAUCAGAUGUCGCUAAUUAGUUUAUGACGAGCUAAGUAAGGAAAAUAUGCAACGGUGUUUAAACUAUCUAAGUGUCAUUCACCGGAUCGGCUAACGGCUCAUAGUAAAUUACAGCCGCAUUAGAGUAUAUUAAAGUUAUUAACUAAUUUCAGUGGAAAAGAUUCCCAGUGUUAACGAAGAUAAACAACGAAGUCUAAUUAGAAAUUUGGAACAGAUCCAUGUGAAUGCUGUCGUUAUUUUACCGCGCGCAUGAAGAAUCGCUUUUACAGCAGCGUGUUAGUGCAGUCUAAAUAUUUUGUUCUUAUAAUUACAUGGUGCACGGUUGCGCCAUAAAUGGAAGACGACAACCUUGUACCAGCCUGCGUGAGAGACUCCGAAGCGCGAUUACGUUUCGCGGUCUCGGCUUGCGUGCAGUUUCUUUUUUUCGUGCACUGAACACGGAAAGGAAAGAGUUCUCUGAAUGCGACAGAAUAAUGCAGCCGUGCUAUGCAAUGCUAAGUACAGAAGAUUCAAAGGAAACUUAAUAGAACGGAUUACCAUUUAAAUGGAAAGAACUGACAUUUGUACCUUAUUCGGAAUUAAGACCGUUAUCUUAUCUUAGCUUCGACAUGUCUAUUUCUAUUUCAUGUGCAAAUAUAUAUAUAUAUAUAUAUCGUAUCGGGAGUGCAACAUAUAAAAGAUAGCGUUAUCUACAAUGUCAAAGUCAAUGUAAAAUUCGAUAGCGUUAUUAGCCAAAAUCGUCUUCACUUUUUGGAACGGAACGAUCGAGCAAAGGACACAUACAUCUUGCUGGAAUAGUACGCACCACGUGAGCAAAGAUUAUCCACUUUUGCGGUAAUUUGUGGCUGCUGAUGCGCAUGCUGUAUCGCGCAAGAUGGCCGCCAACUCGCGAUCGCUGAUUGGCGAUGGCGGAGCGGGUUAUUUGACCGGCGGUUGGUGGUUCCAGCACUGCCUGGUGCGAGUAAUUUUGAUCGUGAUUAUACUAAUUUCAUAGUAUGCCCCUUCUCGGUGGCUUAAGCAUUGGUUGAGUUCACACGAGCAGCAGUACAGGGCAAGAGUUGCCGUGCUAGCGAAAUCGAACAUCAUUUGUAAGAUUCCUUUCGACGUGUGUCAAAGUGAUUUUGUGUUUUCGAAUUUACGCCAGGUUAUGGAUAACAGUUCGCAGAAAAUUUCAUGUUGGUGUUCGUCAUUCGUGAGCUCAUGACGCGUUCUUGAUGGCGUUCUUCAAGAUCUGACGACGAACCAAGAGGAAAUGAUAGCCGUAUUAAAUCGAUGUUUUUGAAUUUAUCUAAUAAUAAACGAGUAUGUCUCUGCCUUUUUCUCGUA